rnacentral:tRNA from 1 species
CUGGGUGUAGCUCAGUCUGCGCAGAGUUCUCGGUUUGGAACCGAGAGGCCACAGGUUCGAAUCCUGUCACCCAGACCA